rnacentral:rRNA from 1 species
UUAAACGUCCAUACCUCGUUGAAUACACCGGUUCUCGUCCGAUCACCGAAGUUAAGCAACGUCAGGCGCGGUCAGUACUUGGAUGGGUGACCGCCUCGGAACACCGCGGCGGAUGUUGACU